rnacentral:rRNA from 1 species
UACGUAGGGUGCAAGCGUUAAUCGGAAUUACUGGGCGUAAAGCGUGCGCAGGCGGUUUUGUAAGACAGAUGUGAAAUCCCCGGGCUCAACCUGGGAACUGCAUUUGGGACUGCAAGGCUGGAGUGUGGCAGAGGAGACUGGAAUUCCUGGUGUAGCAGUGAAAUGCGUAGAUAUCAGGAGGAACACCGAUGGCGAAGGCAGGUCUCUGGGCUGACACUGACGCUCAUGCACGAAAGCGUGGGGAGCAAACAGG